UACGAAGGGGGCUAGCGUUGUUCGGAAUUACUGGGCGUAAAGCGCGUGUAGGCGGGCGAAUAAGUCAGGGGUGAAAUGCCAAGGCUCAACCUUGGAACUGCCUUUGAUACUGUUCGUCUUGAGUCCGGGAGAGGUGAGUGGAACUGCGAGUGUAGAGGUGAAAUUCGUAGAUAUUCGCAAGAACACCAGUGGCGAAGGCGGCUCACUGGCCCGGAACUGACGCUGAGACGCGAAAGCGUGGGGAGCAAACAGG
rnacentral:rRNA from 2 species